rnacentral:lncRNA from 1 species
CAGAAAUUCAAGAUUUUUCAUAAAGAUUAGUAGACAUUUCAUUGUACGAUGAAAAUUAAUUCCUAGACGCACAUUAGAAAUGUACAAGACCUGCCUGCUGGUUCAAUACAUUUGCCAUUGGACAUACAGAAAGAAAAAAAAACAAACAAUAAUUUAAAUAUUUUACUUAUUAGUAAGUUCUUUCAGAUUAACUUGCAUCUUCCAAAUAUCUUGAUAUUCAUUUCAUGUAGAAUAGCAGAUGUUUGCAUGAUUGAUUGAUUAAAUGAUGAACGACAGAUCAAAACCGAUGCAACACAGUUUAAUUUUUUUCAUGGCGCGAUAACAAUAUGUUAAACUAACACAAGUAACAUAACAGAUUCCACAUGCAGUGGAUAUAUUGUUACCCCAAGUAUAGUUAGGUAUUUUAAUGUAAAUAAAUCGAAUUUAUGAAAAUAUUCGUCUGCAUUAUUAUUUCAUCUUACAUCCAAUCUUUAGCGACCAGUACAGCUACCAUAGUCAUUAAUGAGAAUAUAAGAGCAGAUAUAAUGAAUAUCGUUCCCUUAGAAAAUUGACUACAGAUCGAACAUUUUAAGUUGAUGGAAUGCUUUUUGUGUUUAAAUGUCAUGUUGAGUGCAACUGUCAUCAAUAAAAUCACUAUCUUUUUACUCAAAUUCAGUUGUGUUUGAUAUGAAA